GGCUACAUUACGUUGAAAUACCGAUUCCCGUACGAUCACCGAAGUUAAGCACCGUCGAGCCUGGCCAGUACCUAGAUAGGUGACCGCUUAGGAAUGCCAGGUGCAGUAAG